rnacentral:rRNA from 1 species
GACGAACGCUGGCGGCGUGCUUAACACAUGCAAGUCGAACGAAGUGGCGAACGGGUGAGUAACGCGUAAUCAACCUGCCCUUCAGAGGGGGACAACAGUUGGAAACGACUGCUAAUACCGCAUACUGAAGGAGGGGAUUGCGUCUGAUGAGCUAGUUGGAGGGGUAACGGGCCACCAAGGCGAUGCUCAGAAGGCGGACUGAGAGGGUGAACGGCCAAAAUGGGACUGGGACACGGCCCAGACUCCUACGGGAGGCAGCAGUGGGGAAUCUUCCGGAAUGGAAGAAAGGCUGACAGAGCAACGCCGCGGGAGUGAUGACGGCCUUCGGGUUGUAAAGAUCUGUUAAUCGGGACGCGGUACCGAAAUAGAAAGCCACGGCUAACUACGUGCCAGCAGCCGCGGUAAUAC